AAAAAAUUGAUUACCAAACCGUUUUCAGACACCACCAUUUAGAUCUUUUUUCCUGAAUUUACAAUUCAUUUUUUGAAAGGCUGUUAUAUAAAAGAAAAUUAAGCGAUUCUAGACUAAAAUCUCACUCGAACCAAACUAGAAUUUGAAGACAGUCGUAAUGUUACGUCUUGUUGUGUUGUGUGCUAUAUCUGUCGCUGUUCUUACAGUAGAAAUAGAACAGGAAACAGAAAAGAUUGAAAUCGCUGAAAAUACAGAACAGAACGAAAAUGCAGAAGAACUUCAAAAGAAAUCAAGUGGUUACUGUUACAGCAGUGGUCGUAUUUUAAGGAAUGGACAACAAACUCGAGUACGACAUGAUCCUUGUGCUAUCUACAGAUGUGAUCGGGGAAGAUUGAGUCGAGUUAGUCAAGAGUGUAGAGUUGAGGGCAAAUGUCGACCAAUCGGCUCUACUUGGACAGAGAAAUGUGCUACAUAUAAAUGUGAACGCUCUCGUGGACGACGAGGUGGACAGCAAAUCCGGGUUCGAAAAGUCAGUGAAAAAUGUCUGGAUGCCCAUGGAAACUGUCGCCGACCCGGAGAGCGUUUUCCUCAUGUUGUUAAUGGACGAUACAACAGCAGAUGUACAUGUAAACAAUCCCGUAACCGUAAUACCAUCAAGACUUCCUACCAUUGUCAAUAAAUGACAUUGAUAUUCUACAUUGAUGUUUUUCAGUCAAUAAAUGGUUUAAGCAAAA